CCUACGGGGGGCUGCAGUGGGGAAUAUUGCACAAUGGACGAAAGUCUGAUGCAGCAACGCCGCGUGCGGGAUGAAGGCCUUCGGGUUGUAAACCGCUUUCACCAGGGACGAAUGUGACGGUACCUGGAGAAGAAGCACCGGCUAACUACGUGCCAGCAGCCGCGGUGAUACGUAGGGUGCGAGCGUUGUCCGGAUUUAUUGGGCGUAAAGAGCUCGUAGGCGGUUUGUUGCGUCGGAAGUGAAAACUUGGGGCUUAACUCCAAGCUUGCUUUCGAUACGGGCAGACUUGAGGGAGGUAGGGGAGAACGGAAUUCCUGGUGGAGCGGUGGAAUGCGCAGAUAUCAGGAGGAACACCGGUGGCGAAGGCGGUUCUCUGGACCUUUCCUGACGCUGAGGAGCGAAAGCGUGGGGAGCAAACAGGCUUAGAUACCCCAGUAGUC
rnacentral:rRNA from 1 species